rnacentral:rRNA from 1 species
AAUGAACGUUGGCGGCAUGCCUUACACAUGCAAGUCGAACGGUAACGCGGGGCAACCUGGCGACGAGUGGCGAACGGGUGAGUAAUGCAUCGGAACGUGCCCAGUAGUGGGGGAUAGCCCGGCGAAAGCCGGAUUAAUACCGCAUACGACCUACGGGUGAAAGCGGGGGAUCGCAAGCCCUCGCGCUAUUGGAGCGGCCGAUGUCAGAUUAGGUAGUUGGUGGGGUAAAGGCCUACCAAGCCUUCGAUCUGUAGCUGGUCUGAGAGGACGACCAGCCACACUGGGACUGAGACACGGCCCAGACUCCUACGGGAGGCAGCAGUGGGGAAUUUUGGACAAUGGGCGCAAGCCUGAUCCAGCCAUGCCGCGUGCGGGAAGAAGGCCUUCGGGUUGUAAACCGCUUUUGUCAGGGAAGAAACGCUCUGGGCUAAUACCCCGGGGUAAUGACGGUACCUGAAGAAUAAGCACCGGCUAACUACGUGCCAGCAGCCGCAGUAACAC